rnacentral:rRNA from 1 species
AUUAGCGGCGGACGGGUGAGUAACACGUGGGCAACCUGCCUAUAAGACUGGGAUAACUUCGGGAAACCGGAGCUAAUACCGGAUACGUUCUUUUCUCGCAUGAGAGAAGAUGGAAAGACGGUUUACGCUGUCACUUAUAGAUGGGCCCGCGGCGCAUUAGCUAGUUGGUGAGGUAAUGGCUCACCAAGGCGACGAUGCGUAGCCGACCUGAGAGGGUGAUCGGCCACACUGGGACUGAGACACGGCCCAGACUCCUACGGGAGGCAGCAGUAGGGAAUCUUCCGCAAUGGACGAAAGUCUGACGGAGCAACGCCGCGUGAACGAAGAAGGCCUUCGGGUCGUAAAGUUCUGUUGUUAGGGAAGAACAAGUACCAGAGUAACUGCUGGUACCUUGACGGUACCUAACCAGAAAGCCACGGCUAACUACGUGCCAGCAGCCGCGGUAAUACGUAGGUGGCAAGCGUUGUCCGGAAUUAUUGGGCGUAAAGCGCGCGCAGGUGGUUCCUUAAGUCUGAUGUGAAAGCCCACGGCUCAACCGUGGAGGGUCAUUGGAAACUGGGGAACUUGAGUGCAGAAGAGGAAAGUGGAAUUCCAGUGUAGCGGUGAAAUGCGUAGAGAUUUGGAGGAACACCAGUGGCGAAGGCGACUUUCUGGUCUGUAACUGACACUGAGGCGCGAAAGCGUGGGGAGC